UCCGCCUUCACCUCCUCCUGCCAUCCUCAGCAUGAGCCAGCUGCAUGAGGGGUGCUGUGUGCUGGGCUGGAGGAUGGAGCCAUGUGCCACUCCCUCCGAGGCACGCUGUGAAGGGCUGGCCAUGUGACAUGAUCUCCUCAGGCUUCAGAGAAGUGAUUUUACCCUGAGCUACACAGGCAGGAAGACCACCAGCCUGGAAGGCAGGACGUACGAAUGAUGUUAUUUCUGGCAAGGAGGACACGGCUGCUGUGGUUGAUUGGCUGUGGAAUUCCAGGGGAGCAAGGCACUAGGAAGUGGGGAACGCUGCCAGGCCCAGCAGCUCAUCAGGAGCUUGCACUUGGCCCAGUUAGGGCUGGCCGUGGGACGGGCUUGUUGAAGCUGCUGCCGCCAUAAGCUGCCCCUCUGCACCAGGAGACAGAUCCCAUUACCCCACCUACAGCUGCUUCCUGGUACAAGAGAAGAGUUACCAUUUGAAAUGACUCCACAGGAGAGUCUGACAAACAUGUUUGCUUUUCACUGACAAUUAAAAUUGUUUUGCUGCUAAUCUUGUUUUAUUGUGGUCUUUCAUCCAUCAGCAAGCAUCCCUGCACGCAAGAUCAGAGUUGGGUAAAUACAUCCAGACCCUGCCAGGAUUAGGGCAAGAGGGAGUGCUCUGGGCCGGCAGAUCUUUUUCGGAAAUUCUCACUUCUUGGAGCACUAAAGGGUUGUUAGUCUAUCUGGGCAAGCCUCGUUUCCCUGGAGAAAAUGGAGUCUCAGAGAUUAGUGACUGGUCCUAGAGCUAAUGAGUGACCAAAGUGUGACCAGAGCCCAGGUCUGCUUCUCAACCCAGGGCACUUUGAUUCCAGAUUGAGAUGUAAGGUGACAGGUGCCUUAAUAGUGGCGCAAAAGAUGUGCAUUCCCCUCUUCCUCCCUCCCCGCUCCCUGCUCCCCCAGCGGCACCCUGACCUUCCUCAAAUGCAGAAUCAAGAUUUCAGCAGGGGGGCCAGCCCUUUCCCUGCCCCACCCUCCUCGAAUUCAGUGACUCAGGAGUGGGAAGGGGGUUAGCUAUGCCCUUAGAAGGGGGCCAGCUUCUGCAGAGGCCACUGGAAAACUCAUCAGGAUUCUCACUCACAAAGCCACUGCCACAUUCUAAGUAGGAAGUCGGAGUUGGAAAUGAGGCUGGUGUGAGACACAAUAAAUGGCUCAUCGCCAGGAAACUGGGGAGUAGGGCGGCCAAGGGAGGGCGGCGAGCGUGGAAUCCCAAGGCUAAGUCACGUCCCUCCCAUCCUCAGGACUGGGCUGUUGCUCUGGUGAGAUGAAUGAAGAUCCUGCUCCACGGCGUCACAGGUGGAUGCUUACAUAGAAUGCCGGGCUCUGGGGGACUUGACGUGGUUUCAGCCGCUGCAGCAUCGCCCCACAGAGAUUCUGUGCUCUUCCUGUUCACCAGCCCGCUGUCUGCCAUGGGGAUUGGUCACGUGUUAACCACCUUUCGUUCAAGCUGUUUCGGGAUCAGACUUUUCCUUCUCUGGUACAUGGGAGACCUUUCCUCUCUGCAGCUCCUGAAUGUACAAAGCCCCUGGUGCCUACCCGUGGUUACUGUGUGUGUGUGUGUGUGUGUGUGUGUGUGUGUGUGUCUGUGCGCGCGCGCGCGCGUGCGUACACCUGGGAACGGUUAUGCACACCCUCACAGGACUGCAUCCACACAAGCUACUCGGCGUGGUGGGCUGGGCCGAGAGACAGUCAGCUGGUCUCUUUGCUAAGCUACCAGAAGUCGGCUAACAAAAUGAAAAAACUUCUCCAGCAGGGGGCGCUGGUUCCUAAGUCAGAGAAAGGAUUUCGGGGAACACAAGGUUAGACACUUUCUGGUGCAGUCCCCACAAGCCACCUUAGGCUUUAAAGUCAACUUGACACGUCCCACGAGGAAGGGGGCAGGUGAGAUGUGAUACGUUCAGGAAUCAACGACCCUACGGGAGCAGCUACAGUGACAGCAGUAGCUAUGGUAACCAACGUACAAAGCUGGGCUGUGAACUAGCUGUUGGAGUCGUUUCAGCAAGCGCGUCCUGAAGCAGUGCCGUUGACGCCCCGCCCCUCGCUUCUCCAAUGCUGGAAUUGUAGCUCUCACUUCUCUCCUUGCCCUCUGUCCCCUUUUCCUAGGCACGGAUGCUUCAUCUCCCGAGGACCCGGGAGGCCUCCUGAGCCUUUGCUGAGCUUUCCCUGGUGCUCCUUUUUGCAGUCCAGCGAAUCCAGGGGACUGGGGCACACUGCAAGGGGUUGUGGUGGUGCUGGGGCUGCCAGAGGAGUGUCCCAACCAAGAAACUGGCGAAGCUGCAGACUCGACCUAGCAGUCCCCCACCUCUGGCCCACAGAGUUGGAGCCAGGCCCUGUCUUGGUUCUCAAUGCACUCAAAAGCUUAAAUCCUAGUAAACCCUCCACUGCGGAGCGAGAAAAGCCAAAGAAACAGAAACAACCCAUGUGGGGCUGUUGGAGGGUCAUUCAUCACCCCCAUGGCCCCCGCCAGGGCAGCAGUGUGGGUGUGUGUGCGGGUCGGGGUGGAAGGAUUUACACGUCUGUACUAAUAGCCCUUGGAUUGGUGAAGGCCUCACGCCCAGAGCCUGGCCAGGUCACCGGGUAACUCUGGGGUGCUGCCAAUUUGAGGGAUGGGGGUCCCCCCUCUUUGUAGUAUGUGGGAGCAAAGGAGAGCCUCUCGCCUCCACCCCCAUUGGGCACCAUGUCAGCCGUCCGUAUGUAAAAGGGGGAGCUGUAUGGGGAGCAGGUAGUGCAGUGGCUCGCGGCCACCCCACAGGGCUGGCUGCAGGGCUCGCUGGUGAGAGGCGCCAGGCUGCCUCUGCCGUCCAGGGCUUGGGAGCUGCAGGCAUUGCAGGUGGGGCCUCUGGGAUGCGUGGGAAGGUCGUGCUCCCGCUCCUCCUCCUCGUCUGCAACCUCGGUUCCGCUCUUCUUGCAGCAGUAAUACUGUGCGGAAGGGCAGAGGGAUGCCUGAGAGGGUGAAUGCUCC
rnacentral:lncRNA from 10 species